GACGAACGCUGGCGGCGUGCUUAACACAUGCAAGUCGAACGGAAAGGCCCCUUUGGGGGUACUCGAGUGGCGAACGGGUGAGUAACACGUGAGUAACCUGCCCUUGACUUCGGGAUAACUUCAGGAAACUGGGGCUAAUACCGGAUAGGAAUCCUUGCUGCAUGGUGGGGGUUGGAAAGCUUCGGCGGUUUUGGAUGGACUCGCGGCUUAUCAGCUUGUUGGUGGGGUAGUGGCUUACCAAGGCUUUGACGGGUAGCCGGCCUGAGAGGGCGACCGGCCACAUUGGGACUGAGAUACGGCCCAGACUCCUACGGGAGGCAGCAGUGGGGAAUAUUGCACAAUGGGCGGAAGCCUGAUGCAGCAACGCCGCGUGCGGGAUGACGGCCUUCGGGUUGUAAACCGCUUUCAGCAGGGGCGAAGCUUGUGGUGACGGUACCUGCAGAAGAAGCACAGGCUAACUACGUG
rnacentral:rRNA from 1 species